CCUACGGGAGGCAGCAGUAGGGAAUAUUGCUCAAUGGGGGAAACCCUGACGCAGCAACGCCGCGUGGAGGAUGAAGGUUUUCGGAUUGUAAACUCCUUUUGUGAGAGAAGAUAAUGACGGUAUCUAACGAAUAAGCACCGGCUAACUCCGUGCCAGCAGCCGCGGUAAUACGGAGGGUGCAAGCGUUACCCGGAAUCACUGGGCGUAAAGAGCGCGUAGGCGGGAUAGCAAGUCAGAUGUGAAAUCCUAUGGCUUAACCAUAGAACUGCAUUUGAAACUGUUAUUCUAGAGUAUGGGAGAGGUAGGUGGAAUUCUUGGUGUAGGGGUAAAAUGCGUAGAGAUCAAGAGGAAUACUCAUUGCGAAGGCGACCUGCUAGAACAUAACUGACGCUGAUGCGCGAAAGCGUGGGGAGCAAACAGGAUUAGAUACCCUUGUAGUC
rnacentral:rRNA from 1 species